UCAGGGUAAAGUCAGCUGUCAACAAAUGACAAAUCUUCAAGUUUUAAUUUUACUAUUUGAAAAUUUGAACCACUUUUAGGUUAAGAUAGAUUGUAGGAAUAGGAAUUUAUUCGUUAAAUUUUGGCUGAAAGUGAAUCAUUUUUAUUAAUGUAUCAUCUUAAAAUAUGUCUUCAGCUUUAAUCAGACAGGCGUUGGAAUUUGUCGACCCAGAAGAACACAGCAAACUAAAAAAGCGUGGUAAGAAACGUUCGAGGUCUGCAGGUCAAGCAGUUCCUCAUCCAUACAAAAGUAGAAGUGGAAAAACGAACAACACAAUUAAUGAUAAUAAAGUUGACCAGAAUAUAAAAAAGUUGCUAGUUCUUUCCGAACCUGCAGCAGAUCCCAAUAUUGUUGAAAAAAUUAUACAAAGGGCUAAAAAGCAAAAACCUUUACUUGAGAACACAGAAGUGAAAAAAGGUAAAGAAAAAUCCAUCCUUUUCCCUGAAGAAAAACAAUCAUUUCAAGACUUUGAAAAAGAAUUGUUUUGUAGCUGAAUUACAUAAUUAUAUUAAAAAAUAUAUGUAUAUGGACAUUCCUGAUGCAGUCGUGGGAAAAUUUAUAUUAAUUUCUACGGCCACUCUAUUUAUUUUGACCACUCUCUGGAUAAACACAUACCCAUUUUUGGAUGAAGAUUCUGCUGUUUAUGAAUUGAUCCCAAAUCCAAAGUGGUUUCUACUAUUCUGCGCUGUUUGGGGACUGUUCUUCAUAGGGGGCCUAAUGUCCUUCACCCUGUACCACAUUUACCCUUAUUUAUAGAUCUGAGCCACAAAAAAUCAAUUCAGUAUCGUACAACAAACUUUGUUCCACCAUCAGCAAAUUUGAGCCAAAAUUCAAAUAUGCCUGGCAAAGAUUGGAUCAUAAUCGGCAUUUCCGGGGUCACUUGUGGCGGAAAAACGACCCUUGCCAAUAAGUUAAAGAAUGCCCUAACACCAGUCUACGUGUUUCAUCAAGACAAAUAUUUUUAUCCUGACGACAGUCCGAAACACAUUAAGUGCGAAGGGUUAGACCACAACGACUACGAUGUGCUGUCGUCGCUGGACAUGGAGACCAUGUACGAUGACAUCACGAAGACCUUGAGCGGCGAGGACAGGUCGCAUGCCAACCGUUUGGAGGGAACAUCCACCGUAGCCGGUACAAAGUUCUUGGUGAUUGAAGGUUUCACGGUGUUAAAUUAUAAACCUAUUAUGGAGAUCUGUGAUUUGAGAUACUACUUCAUCCUAGAGUACGGGGAGUGCGUGUCCCGCCGCGUGCUGCGACUGUACGACCCGCCAGACGUCGCCGGGUACUUCGACACGUGCGUGUGGCCGCGGCACUUGUACUACAGGGCGCAGGUAGGGUGCGACCGCGGCACUUGUACUACAGGGCGCAGGUAGGGUGCGACAGCGGCACUUGUACUACAGAGCGCAGGUAGGGUGCGACCGCGGCACUUGUACUACAGGGCGCAGGUAGGGUGCGACCGCGGCACUUGUACUACAGAGCGCAGGUAGGGUGCGACCGCGGCACUUGUACUACAGAGCGCAGGUAGGGUGCGACCGCGGCACUUGUACUACAGGGCGCAGGUAGGGUGCGACAGCGGCACUUGUACUACAGAGCGCAGGUAGGGUGCGACCGCGGCACUUGUACUACAGGGCGCAGGUAGGGUGCGACCGCGGCACUUGUACUACAGAGCGCAGGUAGGGUGCGACCGCGGCACUUGUACUACAGAGCGCAGGUAGGGUGCGACCGCGGCACUUGUACUACAGGGCGCAGGUAGGGUGCGACCGCGGCACUUGUACUACAGAGCGCAGGUAGGGUGCGACCGCGGCACUUGUACUACAGGGCACGCUUUGUUGUCGUUUCAGAUAGAGAAGGACCGGCGCGUGAAGUUGCUGGACGCGACGCAGCAGGACUCGUUCGAGGUCGUCAUGGCGGACAUCGACGCCCUCACGCGGUGAGCCCGGUGGGCCACGAGAUUGGCGGCCACAAUUAAAUGUAUCAAUAUAAACGGUAUAUCAUCGCAAAGUCAAUCUCGUAUGUCCCGACAGAAGGCGCAAAGACUUCAGUCCCAUGAGGUCGCUAGUUUCAAUACAAGUUUUUAAUCAAAUUUCAAAUUGAAUUUAAAUUGAUGAUUACGCUGGCGACGGCUCCCGCAAGUCUUGUUGUAUUGCUAUACAGCAACCAAUAUUGGUUUCUACAAAGUUUUCAAAAAAAUAUGUUAUUUCAUCGGUGGUCCAUAACGCGAAUAUUGGGAAUAUUCUUUUGGUAGACUGUCGGUACUAUAACAAUGACACUGUCGAAAACCGUGCGCCGGUUGAUAAAUGACCUAAAUGUAUAUCUAAUGUUUCUAUUUACUUUUGUAAUAAUUUUAUAUGGUUAAAUUGUAAUUUAAUUAUUAUUAACGGAAAAUAAAGAAAUAUAGACGUA